CAAGAGGUAGUUUAAUUAGAAUAUCAGCUUUGGGUGUUGAUGGUAGGGCGUACGCUCUUCUCUUGA